CAGCCGCCACGGUAAUACGGAGGGUGCAAGCGUUAAUCGGAAUUACUGGGCGUAAAGCGCACGCAGGCGGUUUGUUAAGUCAGAUGUGAAAUCCCCGAGCUUAACUUGGGAACUGCAUUUGAAACUGGCAAGCUAGAGUCUUGUAGAGGGGGGUAGAAUUCCAGGUGUAGCGGUGAAAUGCGUAGAGAUCUGGAGGAAUACCGGUGGCGAAGGCGGCCCCCUGGACCUGUACUGACGCUCAUGCACGAAAGCGUGGGGAGCAAACAGGAUUAGAUACCCCUGUAGUCCCUGUCUCUUAUAC
rnacentral:rRNA from 1 species